rnacentral:rRNA from 1 species
AAUCUUCCACAAUGGGCGAAAGCCUGAUGGAGCAACGCCGCGCGAGUGAAGAAGGUUUUCGGAUCGUAAAACUCUGCUGUAAGGGAAGAACAAGUACAGUAGUAACUGGCUGCACCUUGACGGUACCUUCUUAGAAAGCAACGGCUAACUACGGGCCAGCAGCCGCGGUAAUACGUAGGUGGCAAGCGUUGUCCGGAAUUAUUGGGCGUAAAGCGCGCGCAGGCGGUCCUUUAAGUCUGAUGGGAAAGCCCAAGGCUCAACCGUGGAGGGUCAUUGGAAACUGGGGGACUUGAGUGCAGAAGAGGAAAGUGGAAUUCCAAGUGUAGCGGUGAAAUGCGUAGAGAUUUGGAGGAACACCAGUGGCGAAGGCGACUUUCUGGUCUGUAACUGACGCUGAGGCGCGAAAGCGUGGGGAGCAAACA